rnacentral:rRNA from 1 species
AUCGAGUUGUGGUUUAAACGUAAGGCUCUUGGAUGGGUCUGCGGCGGAUUAGGUUGUUGCCGGUGUAACGUACCAGCAAGCCUGUAAUCCGUACGGGUUGUGGGAGCAAGAGCCCGGAGAUGGAUUCUGAGACACGAAUCCAGGCCCUACGGGGCGCAGCAGGCGCGAAAACUCUACAAUGCAGGCAACUGCGAUAGGGGAACAUCGAGUGGCAUCCACCACGGAUGUCUGUCCAAUCGUCUAAAAAACGAUUGUCAGCAAGGGCCGGGCAAGACCGGUGCCAGCCGCCGCGGUAAUACCGGCGGCUCGAGUGGUGGCCGAUAUUAUUGAGUCUAAAGGGUCCGUAGCCGGCUUUGCAAGUCCUAUGGGAAAUCCAGCGGCUUAACCGUUGGGCUUUCAUGGGAUACUACAUUGCUUGGGACUGGGAGAGGUAGGAGGUACUCAGGGGGUAGGGGUGAAAUCCUGUAAUCCUUUGGGGACCACCGGUGGCGAAGGCGUCCUACCAGAACAGGUCCGACGGUGAGGGACGAAAGCUAGGGGCACGAACCGGAUUAGAUACCCGGGUAGUCCUAGCCGUAAACGAUGCUCGCUAGGUGUCACGGCAGUCGUGAAUUGUCGUGGUGCCGUAGGGAAGCCGUGA